ensembl:ncRNA Y48B6A.18 ncRNA
CCAAGAGGAGGCCUAGUGCUGUGUUGUGUGUGUGUGUCCCGCCCCUCUCUUCAUUCGCUUGCUUCGCAGCCAUCCGCAAUGGUUGUCUUCCUCUUCUUCUUCUUCUAUCUUACCACUUCUUCUUCUUCUUUGCCUUUUCUACUUCUUC